AUGAGCAUUAGUCGACUAUGCUCACUAUAACUGCUUAGAUGUACAAAUUUAAUGCCUGCUUAGCUAGUACUAUUACUGCAAGUAGUUUCUCCUAUUUUUUUUAAUUGAUAUCAAAGGGGGAGAAAGAAAGAAAAAAAGUUGCAGGUGUGUUACAUGUGAACUACAACUACAAGGUUGCAGGUGUGUUACAACCUUACAGGUGAACUACAAGCUUCUUAAGUGCAGAUUCAAAUCAACAACCAGCUUAAAGACAGGGGGAGCACACUUGAAAAGAACAGGAAAGUAUCCAUAAAUUAGUCAAACUCUUUUUAGCUUAUUGUCAUCAUCAAAAAGGGGGAGAUUGUUAAGUGUAGAAUUUUAAUAAUGAUCAAAUAUCAAUAAAGAAGUCUUAACUAAUAUUAUAUUAAUAUAUACAGAUUCAGGUGAAGCAAGCAUUUCCAAAAAGGAAUGAAGAUUCACUCCAUGACUAUGUAUCUUGAACCAUUGUCUUAUAUGUAGCUCACCUGCAAAUACAAAUAGCAGAUUCUGUAUGAAGGAAGAUUCAAAAUGGAAAGGGAACACAAUGUAAUGAGAGACAACUUGAAGUGUUGUUCCUCUACCCAAUAAAGCAUGGAGCAUGGAAAGCACUCCCUCGAUAAAUUAAUCCAGCCCAUCAACUGCUCCUUUCUUCGACAAAGCAUGGAGCAUGGAAGCACUCCCUAGAUCUCGGCUUGGAGCACUCCCUGGAUUAUUAAAUCCAGCCCAUCCUUCUUGAAGGAAUUAAAGACACGGGUCAUGAAUCAAAUAUAAAUAAAAUAUUGUGUGCACCAAUCAAAAUAAAUCAUAGCAACUCUCAAAUCUGGUCUAUAAAAAGACUGGCAUACUCAAGGAUUGGGUGCGCAACUACACAAACUGAUUCUAAACCUUUCUAGUUCUUAGUACAAACACUGUAUUCUUGAGUCUACAAGUGUCAUAAAAGAUAGGAAGAGAUAGAACACAAAAAGAGAGUUGUGUCAACAUUAUAAAAGCUAUUAUCACUGAAUGUUAUUGAUGGUGAAUGAACCAAAACUAUCAUCAUUGUAACCUAUUAUCAAAGAUUUAAGAAGUACCUUGUGACCCAAGGGAAACUGAAUGUAAGUAUCUCACCGGUACUGAACCAGUAUAAAAUUGAUGUGUCCUGUUAUCUUUCAGUUUACUUGGUUUACUUCUCUUUAACUAUUCACUGUGCGGACUCUAGUCGACUAAACUCAUAUUUAGUCAACUAAGCUUUAAUCGACCACAAUUCACCCCAUGUACUUUCACUAUGUUCACGUUAGAGGUUAGUAUAGAAGUAUUGAAGAGCUGAUUUGAAAUGUUGAUUUUCUCUACUUCCUACAGACUAAAGCAUGUAAAAAAGCGAAAUCUAAAGAUGAUACAGAGAAUCAAACAACUUAGUAAGACAAAAAAUAAGUAAAGUGUAUAAGGAAUGGACAAAAAUAUUAGGUAGUUCAAUCAACGAAUUUAUUGCUGAAAGAUUUUGGGUAUAUUUAUUCUGAUCUAGUAAAAAAAAUAAAUCAGGUAAAAAGAAGGAAAAUCUAAUUUAAGCCAAAUAAAAGAAUAGAGGACAAUUGAUUGGAAAAAAGGAACUGAAUAACAUACAUAUUGGUCUCUUUAUGAAUUGAAUAUACACAAAUAAUAUGCCACAACUUGGAUAGUUAAAAAAAAUCUUAAGGACGUGAUAAAAAGUUUAUGGCAGAUUAAACAUGCAGGUAGAAAGACAAAUCAGGUUAGAAGAAGAAAAAUAUAAUUUACCGCAAAGAAAAUAAAAGAACACAUACUAUAAUAAAGUGUUCAUUAAUUUAAGCAGAAUAGUAUAUGAUUUUGUAUUGAAAAUCAGUAAAUAGUUAUAAAAGUUCAUACCAUUGUUAUUCGAGGAAUAUUUUGGUCGUUCUUUGUUCCGUAUGCAUAUUCUAUUUUUUCUUGCGAGUUUCUUCAAUUCUUCCAUGCCAAAGUGCCGUACAAACUGAUUUUGCUGUGAGAAGUUUAGAUAAUAUUGGAAUUUUUGUGGAGUCUUUCGGCAGAUAUCAGAUUGUGUUGUGAGAAAUUUUGAAGUAACUCUGAAGCAACCACAACAGGAUUGAGAACAACACUAUUUCCUAAGAGAAAUUAAGGUACUGUAGACAAACCUAGAAUCAUGAAAACCUUCGAUUCAUAUAUUGUCGUUG
rnacentral:lncRNA from 1 species